rnacentral:rRNA from 1 species
GAUGAACGCUGGCGGCGUGCCUAAUACAUGCAAGUCGAGCGAACAGACGAGGAGCUUGCUCCUCUGACGUUAGCGGCGGACGGGUGAGUAACACGUGGAUAACCUACCUAUAAGACUGGGAUAACUUCGGGAAACCGGAGCUAAUACCGGAUAAUAUAUUGAACCGCAUGGUUCAAUAGUGAAAGACGGUUUUGCUGUCACUUCUACAUGGAUCCGCGCCGCAUUAGCUAGUUGGUAAGGUAACGGCUUACCAAGGCGACGAUGCGUAGCCGACCUGAGAGGGUGAUCGGCCACACUGGAACUGAGACACGGUCCAGACUCCUACGGGAGGCAGCAGUAGGGAAUCUUCCGCAAUGGGCGAAAGCCUGACGGAGCAACGCCGCGUGAGUGAUGAAGGUCUUCGGAUCGUAAAACUCUGUUAUUAGGGAAGAACAAAUGUGUAAGUAACUAUGCACGUCUUGACGGUACCUAAUCAGAAAGCCACGGCUAACUACGUG